CACCUCGCUUCGGGGGAGUAGCUAACUGGAUUUCGAGCCAUCGAUAUUCAGGGUGAACAUCAACAUACUUGGCCGCAUGCCAUGGUGUUCACAGCAAAUCAUCGAUUUGUCCUGCAAGACCUGAGCACAGUAA
rnacentral:misc_RNA from 2 species